rnacentral:rRNA from 1 species
CUCCCGGUGAUCCUGCCGGACCCGACUGCUAUCAGAGUGGGACUAAGCCAUGCGAGUCAACAUAGCAAUAUGUGGCAUACGGCUCAGUAACACGUAGUCAACAUGCCCAGGGGACGCGGAUAACCUCGGGAAACUGAGGAUAAACCGCGAUAGGUCAUCACUUCUGGAAUGGGUAAUGACUUAAAUCUAUAUGGCCCCUGGAUUGGACUGCGGCCGAUCAGGCUGUUGGCGAGGUAAUGGCCCACCAAACCUGUAACCGGUACGGGCUCUGAGAGGAGGAGCCCGGAGAUGGGCACUGAGACAAGGGCCCAGGCCCUAUGGGGCGCAGCAGGCGCGAAACCUCUGCAAUAGGCGAAAGCUUGACAGGGUUACUCUGAGUGAUUUCCGUUAAGGAGAUCUUUUGGCACCUCUAAAAAUGGUGCAGAAUAAGGGGUGGGCAAGUCUGGUGUCAGCCGCCGCGGUAAUACCAGCACCCCGAGUGGUCGGGAUGUUUAUUGGGCCUAAAGCAUCCGUAGCCGGUUCUACAAGUCUUCCGUUAAAUCCACCUGCUUAACAGAUGGGCUGCGGAAGAUACUAUAGAGCUAGGAGGCGGGAGAGGCAAGCGGUACUCGAUGGGUAGGGGUAAAAUCCGUUGAUCCAUUGAAGACCACCAGUGGCGAAGGCGGCUUGCCAGAACGCGCUCGACGGUGAGGGAUGAAAGCUGGGGGAGCAAACCGGAUUAGAUACCCGGGUAGUCCCAGCUGUAAACGAUGCAGACUCGGUGAUGAGUUGGCUUAUUGCUAACUCAGUGCCGCAGGGAAGCCGUUAAGUUUGCCGCCUGGGGAGUACGGUCGCAAGACUGAAACUUAAAGGAAUAUGGCGGGGGAGCA